rnacentral:lncRNA from 1 species
GUAAGUUUAGGAGUGAUGGGAACAUUACAGGUAAGUUGGAGUGGUCAAAUAUGUAAGGCUCAAGUAUGAUUCACAUUAGAGUCGUGCCUCAAAUUAUGUUAAUCCGACCCAAAAAGUUUCGUGGUGCAACUUUAUUUUGUGACUUUCAAUGAGGUCUAUGGAAGUAGCAUAGGGAUCGAGCCAAUAGGCCCAAUCCCAAAGCCCACCACUGAUUUCUAUGGUGGUACGGGG